rnacentral:rRNA from 1 species
GAUGAACGCUGGCGGCGUGCCUAAUACAUGCAAGUCGAGCGAACGGACGAGAAGCUUGCUUCUCUGAUGUUAGCGGCGGACGGGUGAGUAACACGUGGAUAACCUACCUAUAAGACUGGGAUAACUUCGGGAAACCGGAGCUAAUACCGGAUAAUAUUUUGAACCGCAUGGUUCAAAAGUGAAAGACGGUCUUGCUGUCACUUAUAGAUGGAUCCGCGCUGCAUUAGCUAGUUGGUAAGGUAACGGCUUACCAAGGCAACGAUGCAUAGCCGACCUGAGAGGGUGAUCGGCCACACUGGAACUGAGACACGGUCCAGACUCCUACGGGAGGCAGCAGUAGGGAAUCUUCCGCAAUGGGCGAAAGCCUGACGGAGCAACGCCGCGUGAGUGAUGAAGGUCUUCGGAUCGUAAAACUCUGUUAUUAGGGAAGAACAUAUGUGUAAGUAACUGUGCACAUCUUGACGGUACCUAAUCAGAAAGCCACGGCUAACUACGUGCCAGCAGCCGCGGUAAUACGUAGGUGGCAAGCGUUAUCCGGAAUUAUUGGGCGUAAAGCGCGCGUAGGCGGUUUUUUAAGUCUGAUGUGAAAGCCCACGGCUCAACCGUGGAGGGUCAUUGGAAACUGGAAAACUUGAGUGCAGAAGAGGAAAGUGGAAUUCCAUGUGUAGCGGUGAAAUGCGCAGAGAUAUGGAGGAACACCAGUGGCGAAGGCGACUUUCUGGUCUGUAACUGACGCUGACGUGCGAAAGCGUGGGGAUCAAACAGGAUUAGAUACCCUGGUAGUCCACGCCGUAAACGAUGAGUGCUAAGUGUUAGGGGGUUUCCGCCCCUUAGUGCUGCAGCUAACGCAUUAAGCACUCCGCCUGGGGAGUACGACCGCAAGGUUGAAACUCAAAGGAAUUGACGGGGACCCGCACAAGCGGUGGAGCAUGUGGUUUAAUUCGAAGCAACGCGAAGAACCUUACCAAAUCUUGACAUCCUUUGACAACUCUAGAGAUAGAGCCUUCCCCUUCGGGGGACAAAGUGACAGGUGGUGCAUGGUUGUCGUCAGCUCGUGUCGUGAGAUGUUGGGUUAAGUCCCGCAACGAGCGCAACCCUUAAGCUUAGUUGCCAUCAUUAAGUUGGGCACUCUAAGUUGACUGCCGGUGACAAACCGGAGGAAGGUGGGGAUGACGUCAAAUCAUCAUGCCCCUUAUGAUUUGGGCUACACACGUGCUACAAUGGACAAUACAAAGGGCAGCGAAACCGCGAGGUCAAGCAAAUCCCAUAAAGUUGUUCUCAGUUCGGAUUGUAGUCUGCAACUCGACUACAUGAAGCUGGAAUCGCUAGUAAUCGUAGAUCAGCAUGCUACGGUGAAUACGUUCCCGGGUCU